UCUCUCUCUCUCUCUCAAUUUCGUGACGAAGAAUUCUCCCCUGCGAUUGAUCCCUGGAUCGAUGGAGUCCAAACUCGAUCAUUCCACCUGAGUCGGGGGAUUCCAACCCCACGAUGGCCAAGAAUUCUUUCAAGUUGGAGCAUCCCCUUGAAAUGUCAUAUUCACAGGAACACCUUAGAGAAUGAGCCUUGUGUUCGAGGAUAAGACAGUACCAUGACAUGACUCUACGGUAGGAAGUUGUAUAAACGAGACCAUCAAUUUUCUUUUGGCGUCAACAAAUUAGAGUUCACCUUUACUUACUUUGGUGGACAUGAAAAUAAUGAUAGGGUCGCAGGGGUGGUUUUCAAACACCUUCGGAAGAGGAUUAAGCUGGGUGCAGACAGAGAAGGCCAUCUUCGUUUUUGUCAAGAACACAUUGUCACCUACAGGUGAAAUGAUCUACUUCAUAUUCAGCUUGUAUUCUCCUUUUGCUAUAAGCUCAUGGCAUUGAUGUAUGACUCGCUGUUGCAGCUACAUUGAUGUCUGCCAUCUACGACGAACGCAAAGACGAAGAUGGUUUUCUUUCUUUACAUGACCUCUACAGCGGCGAGAGAACACAUUUGGCUCCUCCUAAGAUGCAGGAGCCAUCCUUGUAGAUAAAAAUCAUGGAAAGUUUAGCAUCCUUGUAGAUAAAAUUCAUGGGGAAUAUUAUCGAAUUUCAUGGCCAUACCAUACACUGUGGAAAUUGUGCUAAUUUUGUUUCUAAAUCAUUUAAAUCA